GAAAGCGUAAUAGCUCACUAGUCGAGUCGGCCUGCGCGGAAGAUUUAACGGGGCUCAAACUGAUAACCGAAGCUGUGGAUGCAAGCUUGCUUGCAUGGUAGAGGAGCGUUCUGUAAGCCGUUGAAGGUGAACUGUGAGGUUUGCUGGAGGUAUCAGAAGUGCGAAUGCUGACAUGAGUAACGAAAAAGGGGGUGAAAAACCCCCUCGCCGGAAGACCAAGGUUUCCUGUCCCAUGCUAAUCAGGGCAGGGUUAGUCGGCCCCUAAGGCGAGGCCGAAAGGCGUAGUCGAUGGGAAACAGGUUAAUAUUCCUGUACCUCUUGUUACUGCGAUGGAGGGACGGAGUAGGCUAGAUCAGACGGGCGAUGGUUGUCCCGAUCUAAGCAAGUAGGCUGAGGACUUAGGUAAAUCCGGGUCCUUAAGGCUGAGAUGUGAUGGCGAGGCUCUCUUUUGAGCCGAGUGAUCGAUGCCAUGCUUCCAAGAAAAGCUUCUAAGCUUCAGGUAACAAGAGACCGUACUCUAAACCGACACAGGUGGUCAGGUAGAGAAUACCAAGGCGCUUGAGACAACUCUGGUGAAGGAACUAGGCAAAAUGGCACCGUAACUUCGGGAGAAGGUGCGCUGCUGGUGGUGAUCGGACUUGCUCCGUAAGCUACUGGCAGCCGAAGUGACCAGGCCGCUGCGACUGUUUAUUAAAAACACAGCACUCUGCAAACACGUAAGUGGACGUAUAGGGUGUGACGCCUGCCCGGUGCCGGAAGGUUAAUUGAUGGGGUUAGCUUCGGCGAAGCUCUUGAUCGAAGCCCCGGUAAACGGCGGCCGUAACUAUAACGGUCCUAAGGUAGCGAAAUUCCUUGUCGGGUAAGUUCCGACCUGCACGAAUGGCGUAACGAUGGCGGCGCUGUCUCCACCAGAGACUCAGUGAAAUUGAAAUCGCUGUUAAGAUGCAGCGUUCCCGCGGCUAGACGGAAAGACCCCGUGAACCUUUACUAUAGCUUGGCACUGAACUUUGAACCUAUUUGUGUAGGAUAGGUGGGAGGCUUUGAAGUGUGAUCGCUAGAUUGCAUGGAGCCAACCUUGAAAUACCACCCUGGUAUGUUUGAGGUUCUAACCUUGGCCCGUUAUCCGGGUCGGGGACAGUGUCUGGUGGGUAGUUUGACUGGGGCGGUCUCCUCCCAAAGAGUAACGGAGGAGCACGAAGGUACCCUCGGCAUGGUCGGAAAUCAUGCUAUGAGUGCAAAGGCAUAAGGGUGCUUGACUGCGAGACUGACACGUCGAGCAGGUACGAAAGUAGGUCUUAGUGAUCCGGUGGUUCUGUAUGGAAGGGCCAUCGCUCAACGGAUAAAAGGUACU
rnacentral:rRNA from 1 species